rnacentral:rRNA from 1 species
UACGUAGGUGGCAAGCGUUGUCCGGAUUUACUGGGCGUAAAGAGCGCGCAGGCGGUCGUACAAGUCGCGUGUGAAAGCCCCCGGCUCAACUGGGGAGGGUCACGCGAUACUGUUCGACUCGAAGGCAGGAGAGGGAAGCAGAAUUCCCGGUGGUAGUGGUGAAAUGCGUAGAUAUCGGGAGGAAUACCAGUGGCGAAGGCGGCUUCCUGGCCUGUUCUUGACGCUGAGGCGCGAAACUAGGGUAGCAAACGGGG